GCACCUCGUUCUGCGUUAAAGUCCUCUCCGGGUGACGGUAAACGAUCCGGUAGCAAUGGCUGACCUUCUUUGUCUUUGGAUGGGUAUAUUCAUCCAGUAGGACAACUUUUUCUAUCAGGUCUCCACCAACACUUCGGGCCAAGUCAUAGAAAUCAUUCUUAGAGUACGUCUCAGUAGGCAGCCAGAAGGAGAUGUCAUUGAUCA
rnacentral:lncRNA from 1 species